rnacentral:lncRNA from 1 species
CACACGCUUGGGCAGGUUCUGUCAGUGAUGGCUCUUUGCACUGUGGAAGGAAUUCAGCAGACUGAAGCUUCCACUCCCCCAAAGUGUUGUCCCCUCUCUCUCAGUCAAGAAAUACAGGAGUUCCUGGAUAGCAAGAAACCUGGAUAAGAUGUUGAUUCUAGAAGAUCUAAGGUGAUUAUAAGUAUUACACACCAGUAUUUCACAGGCUAAAACCCUGGUGUUUGCUGGAAGUGGAGUGACACCCCAGUGCAGGGGCAGACCAAGAGAGAGCACUGUGAGCUGCUUUAUUUUGCAAACAGCUGCAGAGGACAGGAAUUCUAGACUCCAGCUCUAUAGAAACGGGUUAUGGGUGCAAUCCCCCUGCGUCUUUGGCUGUCUUUGCAGUAAUUCAGGUAGCUGCAAAGCAAAACAGAACAUGAGGCUUGAACUAAGACUGCCCCCUGCACCAGCUCCGAGUGUUCCAGAAGGAACAAGGAGGAUGGGACAGAGAUGGAAGUGUCAGGCAGGCUCUUAU